AGCAGCCGCGGUAAUUCCAGCUCCAAUAGCGUAUAUUAAAGUUGUUGCAGUUAAAAAGCUCGUAGUUGAAUUUCGGGAUCAAAGAAUCGGUCAUGCCUUGGUAUGUACUGGUUUUAUUGGUUCUCACCUUCUAAAGAACCAUGAUGUCAUUCAUUUGAUGUUAUGGGGAAUUAGGACUGUUACCUUGAAAAAAUUAGAGUGUUUAAAGCAAGCUUACGCUUGAAUACAUUAGCAUGGAAUAAUGAAAUAGGACAUCAGAUUCUAUUUUGUUGGUUUCUAGGAUCGAUGUAAUGAUUAAUAGGGAUAGUUGGGGGCAUUAGUAUUCAAUUGUCAGAGGUGAAAUUCUUGGAUUUAUUGAAGACUAACUACUGCGAAAGCAUUUGCCAAGGAUGUUUUCAUUAAUCAAGAACGAAAGUUAGGGGAUCGAAGACGAUCAGAUACCGUCGUAGUCUUAACCAUAAACUAUGCCGACUAGGGAUCGGAUGAUGUUAAUUUUAAUGACUCAUUACGG
rnacentral:misc_RNA from 1 species